GUAGUGAACAACGAAGCAUGAAUGGGUUGCUAAAAAAAUCGGUGGCUGCGACUGUUUAUUAAAAACACAGCACUCUGCAAACACGAAAGUGGACGUAUAGGGUGUGACGCCUGCCCGGUGCUGGAAGAUUAAUGAUGGGGUGCAAGCUCUUGAUUGAAGUCCCAGUAAACGGCGGCCGUAACUAUAACGGUCCUAAGGUAGCGAAAUUCCUUGUCGGGUAAGUUCCGACCUGCACGAAUGGCGUAACGAUGGCCACACUGUCUCCUCCUGAGACUCAGCGAAGUUGAAAUGUUUGUGAUGAUGCAAUCUCCCCGCGGAAAGACGGAAAGACCCCAUGAACCUUUACUGUAGCUUUGUAUUGGACUUUGAACAGAUCUGUGUAGGAUAGGUGGGAGGCUUUGAAGCAGGGUCGCUAGAUCUUGUGGAGCCAACGUUGAAAUACCACCCUGGUGUGUUUGAGGUUCUAACCUAGGUCCAUUAUCUGGAUCGGGGACAGUGCAUGGUAGGCAGUUUGACUGGGGCGGUCUCCUCCCAAAGCGUAACGGAGGAGUUCGAAGGUACGCUAGUUACGGUCGGACAUCGUGACGAUAGUGCAAUGGCAUAAGCGUGCUUAACUGCGAGACUGACAAGUCGAGCAGAUGCGAAAGCAGGACAUAGUGAUCCGGUGGUUCUGUAUGGAAGGGCCAUCGCUCAACGGAUAAAAGGUACUCUGGGGAUAACAGGCUGAUACCGCCCAAGAGUUCAUAUCGACGGCGGUGUUUGGCACCUCGAUGUCGGCUCAUCUCAUCCUGGGGCUGUAGCCGGUCCCAAGGGUAUGGCUGUUCGCCAUUUAAAGAGGUACGUGAGCUGGGUUUAAAACGUCGUGAGACAGUUUGGUCCCUAUCUUCCGUGGGCGCUGCAGAUUUGAGGAAGCCUGCUCCUAGUACGAGAGGACCGGAGUGGACACACCUCUGGUGUAUCGGUUGUCACGCCAGUGGCAUUGCCGAGUAGCUAAGUGUGGAAGAGAUAACCGCUGAAAGCAUCUAAGCGGGAAACUCGUUUCAAGAUGAGAUCUGCCGGGGCCUUGAGCCCCCUGAAGAGUCGUUCUAGACCAGGACGUUGAUAGGUCAGGUGUGGAAGCGCAGUAAUGCGUUAAGCUAACUGAUACUAAUUGCUCGUGCGGCUUGACCCU
rnacentral:rRNA from 1 species